GCGCGGCCCCUCCCCCCGGCUCCCCUCCGCUCAUGCGCUGUGGGCCGCAAUAGCCCCUGGUGCCGCCCAGCCCGGAAGCCGCCAGAAAAAGGAGCCACAAAAGGCCGGGAAAGGGGAUGGCGUGCAGCAUCAGCAGCCAUCCUGUCUGUCCUGCUCCUAAGCCCUAGGGUGGGCCGAAGGUGAGCUGCUUCUUUUCAAGGCUGAAGUCCUCAGGUCCUGACCUCCACUCCAGAGUUCCUCCACAGAAGCCUGGGGCCUAGCACAGAUCUGACUUAAAGGAUGAGCAGGCAGAAGUGGCCCAGAGUCACAAAUCCCUGAGAUUUGUUAGGAGUACGGAGUACUCACCUGGUGGGCUACAGUGUCUGCAGCAUCCCGUCAAUACUACCUCCAACAUUCAUCAUCAAAUCAGCAUGCUUCUCUUCACUUCUACUGCCACUGCGUAGGCACACCUGGCCUACUGCCAGCAACUCUCCACAGGUCUUCCUGCUUCUGUGUUGGCACCCUACAAGCCACUGUCAGUGAGUGGCUAGAUAGGAUCUUAUUUUUAAAAUCGAUUGGUCG